UAUAGUAUCUUGAGUAAUGGUGACAUUUAUAUGUCUUAAAAGGGAAUUCAGUCAAAUCUGAAGCUGCCCCCGCAACUGUAAGUGUUGACGAACUAGCAAACCACUGUAUCAUUUCUUUGAUAUGGGAAGGGCUAUAGUAGGAUGAAACACUAGCCAGGAGACCUGCCAAUACUUAUAGUUUCUA
rnacentral:ncRNA from 2 species